AUGCCAAAGAAGAUAUCCAUGUGUUUUGAAGAGCAGAAAUACUGGAAUGCAGCUGGAAAGCAGCUCAGGGCUCCUGCCAGUCGUACUGGCUCACCACUAAGAGUUUAUCUACACUCCACAAGAGAGCUUCUUCAGACCCAGACAGCUUCUGCUUCAUUUCAUCAUCAAGCACUACCUGCUAACUCUGGAAGUGAAGUCAUGUUUAUUGCCUACUCUUCUCAAAGAGCUGUUCACUGGAUUGUUGGGAAGCCUUCAACAUAUGUUUACAGUAAUGCACCAUGAUGUCAACUUCAGGAAACGUGGAAUGGCACAGAUCUCAUGACUGCUAUGGCAUGUGUGCCAGACCUGCAGGUGUGUGAGGCUGGAUGGUCGUCCUUCUGGUGGAAUGCAACAGUGAAGUACUCCAAGAGGUAGGAGGCUUUUUUUCUUAUUUUCCUUUGACACUUCAUUUGUUUUGGUUUUGUUUUUUGGGGGUUGUUGUUGUUGUUUUUUGAGGGGCUUUUUUUGACCGUUUUUCUGACCAAAAACUGAUACUGAUGUGGAGCAGCUGGUGCAUGCUUGUUGUGGUGGCAAGAUGCUCUGGAGGGAGAUGUUUGCAGCUCUCUUUCUCUGAACCUGAUAAAGUAAGACAGACUGACAAGUUGAUGGAGAUUAGUUCUAAGUUGCUUUUUUUAAUGUUUUAGGAGACUUGUGAUUUAGGAACUAUUUCUACAAUUCCUAAUGUGGGAAAUGUCAUGAGAGCAGGGGGAACUUGUAGUGGCCUUGGUCAAGCUUGUAAAAGUUUGCAUGUCAUAACCAGUCACCAAGGUGACCAUUAUUAUGUGAGGCUUCAAUUUUUCAGCUGGAGAAAGAGUUCUAUGAACAUGCACUGAUCAUUUUUAGUAGCAUUUUGCUGGCACUGCUUUUCCAACUGUCCAAGAACCUUGUCUGGGAGGAAGGUACAAGUAUCCUUCUUGGAAAAAGCCCUCUUUAUUGAGGCUGUGAAAGAGCAGUUACGGAAACUUCAGAGAGGUAAAACUUUAAAUACAUAACCUGUCUGCAGACCAGAGGCAGUAUCAGCUAUUUCACAAUUAAGAUAGGAUGUGUUUCAGAUGACAUGAACACAGAGCUUUUGACAGCAGCAAAGCUUACAUUUGAUUCUUAAGAUAAAAUCACUUCAAAUUUCAAAUGACUGUUGUACCUUUCACCAGGGGAUUUAAUAUCUAGCAAAGGCUUUUGCAGAACCUUUAAGGUGACCUGUAAUGAAAGACAAAAUUGCAGUUCUAUUGUUGAAAAUAACUCUAUCUGUUAGGAGUUCUAUUUCUUGUUUAGUUUUACCCCCCUGCCCCUUUGUCCGUAAAGAAAACCUGAAUGACAAUCCUCCUUCCAAGAUGAGAUCUUUCCCCCUUGAAGACUUAAAGUUGUGCAAGUAUCAGUAUGUACUUUGGAGGCAGUGCUUAACGUGAGUUGUGUUUUCAGAUUGUUGAAAUGGGUUGGGAAAUACUGUAGCUCAUUGUUUUCUGGAAGUGAUUUUCACACACUGCAAAGUCACGUGGGGAUUUCUCUUGGUUGCUUGUGUUGACAGCCAGACUUGAAGCCACAACAUGUAGUUGCUGAAGUCCCUAGAAUCAUAGGCUGUAGUGCUGUCCCUUGUGAAAAAUGGUGCCAGGCUCAAGAGCUAAUAAUCUAAAUGGACACGACCAGUGCAGUGAUAAGGAAACAGAUACUAAGGAAUGAAAUGUUAUAAUUGGCACUUUUUCUGCAUCACCAAUAAUGUCCUCGUCCAUUGUUCCCUCGUAUACCUGGAAUUAAGAUGCCAGAUGCCCAGUGUGUCAAAGUGAGGAUCACAGGAUGCAGUUGUUGAAGUGGUGAAAUGGCAGUUCCUUAGUGGGACCCAGCUGUGUGGUCUCUUGAAAGGAUACUUCAUGUCUGCAAAAGUAUAGCAUAAUAGUUGGACAACUGAUAAUUUGGACUAUAAUUCAUAGUGGUUUCACUUGCCUUUAGUUUUUGGCUCAUAUAAAAUGUCGUGUUUAUUUUCUUGAAUAUUCAUUUCAACUGUACAUACGAUUAAAAAUAAUGAAUGGUUAUUAAUUUUUAUCAUUAGUGCUAUCAUUACACCUACUCAUCCUUUGAUAUUAUUGCUAAAAUUAUCUUUAAUAGUUUUAAUAGGAGCUAUUCUCCCAUGCUAAUGAGGAUAUAAAUCAAAGUAUUAAACAAGAUAGAAAGUACAAUUUUGGACUACAGUCUGAAAUCAUAUUCCCCCUGUGGAGUGGAUACCUUCAGGCUUUGCUCAGAAGAAUAAUGAUGCAUGUUUCUCUCUGAUACUUAUAUGAGAUGGGAUUUAACAAUAUUACUGGCAUUGAUGAAACUGUGGCACUAGAGAAGGGGGAAAAAAAAAAAAGCAAAGGUGGGAGAUAGCAGUUAGUAUGUUGCAUUUCUGAACUCUUUUAGGCAGGAGGCUUUAAGUCACUGUCGGCUGCAAGGUGGGGCUUAAUCUAUACUGAGUACUCAGGGAAAUCCCACCUGCAGGACUUCAGCAUGAAGUACCCCGCAGAAGCUUGUGCUCUGAUACCGAGUAAAUAUCAGUCAUUAAAUCCCACAGGAGCGUUCACUAAUGGUCCCUGUUUAAUAACAAGGUUAUGUCUCUUUUAAAGCUGAGACAUGGCAAAAAGGAAUAAACAGUAUCUCUAGUAAUUGUUCA
ensembl:lncRNA